GGCAACUUGCCCGAGUUGGUCUAAGGGGAGGUAUUAGAAGACUUCAUUGAAAUUUCUAACCCAGGAAAAUGCCUUAGGCUUUGCCUGCACAAGUUCGAAUCUUGUAGUUGUCG